AGCUAGAAAAACAAGCAAACAGCACAAAAGAUAGUGCUAGAAGGGGAGAGUAAAAAUUUGUCUGUGUAUGCGGUAUAUAGGCCUUCAUACAUAUGCUGGAUGUUAAUUCAUACAUUCUUAAUCUAAGUAAUUAUUAUGUUUUUUGCUCUUCCCUUCUAGCACUAUCUUUUGUACUGUUUGCUUGUUUUUCUUUCUCU